rnacentral:lncRNA from 1 species
AACCAAUUUUGAAACUCCUUUUAGGCAAUUUGAUUUAGAGAAUGAGAAAAAUAAAGGAUAGAGUUUCAAGAGAUGGCCCCAAGAAGUCUUUUUUUUUUAGGGUUUUUAGUCUGAUAUUUUCGUCUGCCUCAUGAAUUUCUGCACAAGUUUUGAUUUUAUUUCUGAAAUUUUGAGCCAUGCACAAUGAUCUCUGAAGUCUAGAAUAAUACCUAUAUAGCUAUGUCAAAGCUUUUGAUUUCACUGACAAAUCUUUAUUGUGCCUUAGUUAUAUAUAAUGAAUCUAAAAGCUUCUAAUCUAAUCAUGUGAUUGCUUGUGUUUACAAACUUGAGGUAACAGUUCUGAGUAAUUUUAGACCACAUUGAUUAGAACUGUAUAAGCUCAGUUUCAGAAUCUGAAUCGAUAUAUCAAAAAGUUACUUUCUUUUAAGGGUUUUAGUCUUGACCUUUUUCAUUAUUCUAAUUCUAUGAUUUGAAUCUUGAUUGUUUCUUGUAUACAGUCUGGUUGCUGCAAGCCCUCUAAUGACUGUAACUUCAUCUACAUAAAUGCAACAAGUUGGAACAAAACAUCAGGAACACAAAAGAACUCAGAUUGCCAACUUUGGGACAACGAAAAGGAUAAGCUUUGCUACAAUUGCCAAGCAUGCAAGGCUGGUUUUCUCGACAACCUCAAGAGCUCAUGGA